UUCUCUUAUUUUUUGUUAGUGAAUUUUUGCGCGCCUUAUAAGGAAGGUUUAUUGAAUCUUCUUUAGUUGUAUGGCGGAUGGGGGAUGUUGGAAUUAAACAUGAAGACACGCACACACAUAUGUAUAUUCAUAACUUGCAAAUCCUAACAAUGAAUGAAAUUAUUUUGCACUUCGGUCGUUUCGCAUAUCAAGUCGUCGUCGUCGUCGUAUAAUCACGUGAUCGGUGUAUAGAACAUUGAAAGAGCUUUUAAAGAAAAGUGAAAUUUGCAGUUUGGAGCCCGAAUUAGUUAUCGAAAUACCGAUGUGACCAAUUAAAGGGGCCUGCCAAUACCCGUACACCCUUGGCCAUCAAACCUCAAUUUUGGUCCGGUUUGACUGCAAAUUGUCUUGGAUUGUUUUGUUAUGACUUCCAAAAUCCAUGUAAUUGUGUUCAUGUGUGCGGGGUGUGCCUUGCUGCCAACCUCUUGGAAGGCUAAUGAAUAAGGAAGACUCUACUACCACUACCAACACCAUCAAUCCAACUCAACAGAGGAAAAACAGUGGUGAACAUUGACCAGUCAAGUUCCCAAAAUGUUGACGAAAAUCUUCGAAAUCUUCCUAAAUUGGGAC
rnacentral:sRNA from 1 species